AAGGCAUAAACUCAUAAGGACAGAGAGAAUUAGAGGGAGAGAAGAGUAGAGAAGAUGGAAAGUGGUUUGAAGAAUGGUAACUCACUUAGCAGAGGAGGCUGAAACCCAAGCGUCUAAGUAAGGAAAGAUUAAUGAGAAACAAAAGAUUUGUUAACAGAACACCUGAAACCUUCUGACAUUGAAGACAGCAGUACAGUGGAAGGGGCAAAAGAGGACAAGGUCUUGGAGAUGAAGACAGAGAGAGUGACAGUUUGUCAAAGGAUCCUUUAGACCUCUAAUCCACACCACUAGAGUAUGACCUUUCUCUAACCCCUGUAGAACACGGAGUUCCUUCUCUGGAGAAACUGACCAGUCUUUGGCUCAGGGGAUUCCCACCAACCUCCCUGCUCCCACUACGGCACUGGUAUUACUGCUUGGGCCCUGGUCUUCAACUUCAAGACUAGAGUGGAAAAUCAACGGAAAAACUCAUUCUACCUUGAAUGUGGAUGAGAUGGAUGGAGCUGCAGCAAUUAUCUUGUAGUCAUGGGUAAGAGAUCAAGAGAGUUCUAGAGAUCUUUGCCCUGACAUUCUUGAGCCUCUGAAAUAACACUGGUCCAAUGACUUUUUGACUUGUGUGA